AUGCGAAGAUGAAUGCAUAGUGUACAUGAAAAAUUGUUGUGAAAGUCCCAAUUCGACAAAUAAUUUUUAAACAGUUGAAUUCGUUUCUACGAAUAUUUACUUUUAAUGUUUUCCCGUCGUCUCAGAUACACGAUACCUAGGUUAGUAUUAAAUACACGUUUGUCGAGAAUAUUCUCGAUCUCACAGGGCCGGUACGGGCCCUCGAUGGUUUCCGGGCAUGCGCGAGGAAUUUGUAUAGGUGCGCGCCGAUGGCAACGUCUACGCUGAAGAUAUCAAGAUGGAAAUUCCUAACGAAAUUCCUGUAACGAGACUUGUCUGCAAGGAUUUGGCGACCGACGUUCCGUUAUCUAUUCCAAAUUUCGUUCCUUCUAUCCUGUGACGCAACGUAUCAGCUAGAAGAGCUUGAAGAGUUCAUCGGAAGUGUUGCUACGCGGUAUCCUCCGGCGCGCUCUAGCGGAGAAACAUGGCCGACAUGACAGUUGCGGCAUGGAACGCGUCGACAAAAGCGGCUGACCGAAAAAUUCGACAAGACUGAAUCUUCAGCGGCGAUCGAGCGACAGAAUUUGCUCAGCAAUUCGCGAACGUGAUCGAGAACCGGCAACCUAAUUUCCUCUCGUCCAAACGAAACUGGUCUCGCUUCGAUCGAGCGUUGCUCGAGCACGGGAGACGUCUGGUCCUUGGCACUGAUAACUCAAGAAGAGGUUUGAUAACUUGCCGGGCCUGUUGCAACAGCCUGUUCACGUCUGUGUAGAUUAAUCCAUUAUCAAGAAUCGUUUCCCUACAAGUGUCAUAGAAAUUAAUAAUGCGAACGACGAAAGGAUCGAUAAAAUAAUUGGGGUUUCCUUUCGAUUCCGGAUGAUUCGUGCACGAAAAUCUCAUUGGCAGGCUAGUAGUCCGUCUCCGGGUGGCGCUUUGUUUCGGUUUUUGGAUGAAAUGUUUCAAGAUUAAACCACGGUCUACGACGGAAUGGAUACGGGUUAGAUAUACGUACAUCGUCGAAUGCCUUUUGGGAAGUGGGUCGCGAGGUUCGAGCCUCGAAUGCGAACAUCGAUUGUAUCGGAUUGGUGAAUAAAAGUGAUUGCUACAUACAAUGGUUUGCUGUUGUUUUUCUAUCGUCAAAAGUGGGAUCGACUUGUGCUCGCAACCAGCGAGGAAGUUAAUUAUUCAAAGGGAAAUGGCGAUGGAUAAGUGACAAGAGUGUAAAAACUUGUUUUUGAUCGUUCGGAUGAAAAACGAUCGCAACUGUGAUUUUCCAUUAUAAUGCAGGAAACUGGUGAACAUUGCGAGUCGUGUGUCGCGGUGAUUCUGGUAUACAAGUGUAGCCAGCCCCACCUUUGUUUAUUUACUCCACGGGUAGACGAAGCAGGAGAGCCACGAUCCCUCUGAUCACGGAAGGACGUGUUUUCGCUACAAGAUUCGAACCGAGAGUGAGAGCUUUUUCCAACAGCGCAUAGGAAAACCGGCGCCUACGUCGUAGAAGAAAAAUACGGCUCGGGUCUGCCACGUGUUUUUCACACUGCCCUCUUCAACACAAAUACUGUCAGAGGCCCAAAACUACGAUGGCAGCAGAAACGGAACUUUUCCCUUUUGAGUAAACGCAGUGUCCCUCAACUCUAGAUUUAUUUUUCUUACGUUUACUAUGAAAUAAACCAACAUGUAUUUAGGUAUUCCUUGGAGUCGAGCGUAAACGACAUCGAGGAAUAUACUCGUUCGUACACCGUCCAGAAGGAGACACUUCGCACCGGGAAGAGUGACUACUUUCUCGACUGCGAUUUUUCGAGGACUGGUCUCGGAUAACAUCGUCCUGCCAAUUCGGCGCACCUCAGGCGAUCGGCUCGAGAGAGUUUUAGUUACUAGCGACGUUAUCUAGGACUCGAAUCCGACGAGUACCGCUACGCAACGUAAAUGGGAUGGAAAAGACUGUGCUGCCCGACCGGGGUCAUGUACAGUAAAAAUGACCUACGGCUAUACGCCGGAGGAAACAGAACCUCGACGCUGUAACAUCUGCCAAAAUGAAAAUGUACGUCUGCCUCUUAAAGCAACGACUUGACGGUCUACACGUUUUUACAACGAAUUCGAACGCUGCGAUAAUGCUGAAUAUAUAUCAACGAACUUCGUUAUCAUAUGUCCAAAGAUGGCUGUUGGGGAAGAACAGAAAUUGCUAUUCAGGAUGGAAGCUGUUUAGACACUCCUGGAGUUCAAGCUACGAGGGAAAAUGAUCUGGACCAUCGAACAGCUGUUUGCUGUAUACGGAAGUCUUUAUCUCGAGGUUAUACUAUUAAAUUAGUGUGCGUGCCUCGGAGAUACCAAGAUAUUAUUAAUAAUGGAAGCGAGUAGACGAUGCGAGAGGAUUUCAGGGUGGAUAUAGAUCAACACGAUCGCUACUAAAAUAUUAUAUUCUCCAUCCAUAUUCUCUUAAAACCAUUUCACCAACGAAUCUCCUCUCUGUGUACACCAGUACAGCGGUGCACACAGCUUAAACACGAAAGUGACUUUAUUCGGAACGACCGAUUCCCGCAACAUUCGUCUGGGGGCCUGAUUGUUAAUACUAUUAAAUACUUGUAUCUAAAUACUGGAAUUAACGUCAUUUGUAUUUUAGCGUAGUAAACUCCGGCGUUGAAAAAUGUUACUUUUUUUUCAAACGAUCGAUCACCUUUCGAGCGGUUAUGAACGUUGCUGUUGUAAAAAUUCUUUAAAGACGUUUCCAAAUGAAAAUGUGUGCCACGUUAAAAAACAAAUUCGUUAGCCUACUUUCUCCUCGGUUAGGUAUCUCUCGACCAUAAACUACCACCUUAAUAAAAAUUCCUGAAUGAGUGCGAUCAAACUUUUCUCUUGCAACACGACCAACUCGAUAGCCGAUUACCCUGUUCCUGUCCACAACUUUCUCCGCACGUGGAGAUCGGUUGUCGGUCCGCAAUCCACCGCGCCGAAUCCUUUUUGUUCGACAAAUCGUGGUAGGUGCGUUCUAGGGUCAGCCGUGUGUUGCGUGGGCGCGAUUUCCUGCCUUUCUC